ensembl:lncRNA
CUUUGCUAAGAUGCCUCCUCUUUGUCUUUAAUUCCCAAGUGUGUUUGAAACAUCUCUUUUAGAUACCCUUUAAAACAUAGGGAGGAGCAGUUCCCUUUGCACCUCUGUAGGCAAGCAUCAGUCUUCUAGCAGAUGCAAGCUAAAACCGGAAGCCAGUGGAAUGUGUGGAAGAGCAGCGUGACAUUGGAGAACUUGGAAACACCAAGCAGGCCGCAUGCCGGACGGUAUAAACAGGGAGGCCCCCUAUCAACAGUGAGUUACAGCUCUCCAGGUGGGAGAGAAUUUUCUGGACUAAUACCUGCACCGCUGUGUGAAUACCUGGGCGAGGGACACUGUGCAGUUGUUAACCGUGAUGGAGCAGUCUUGCAGCAGACCAGCCUUCCUCCAAAGGGAGAGUGUCUUUGCCUCGUUGGCCCAUAUCCAAGCAGAGAUGUCAGCCGGGGCGACAGAAAUGCAUGUUGUCACCCAGGUGGGUGUUGGAAGUCAUCCACACAGCAACGAUAACAGAGCCCAUGUAAGGAUAUGAUACAGCCAAGUGACUUGGUGUGUAAAGAGAAAAGGGCAUCAAACCAAUCCCCGGGGGACACCAGAUACUGAUCCUCUCCAUGUCACCUGGUAGAAGCUGCCUGCCAGGUAGAAUGCAAACCAAGUGUGUAGAGCCUGAGAGGUUGGAAAGGAGGGUCUGAUUGUGUUGUGUCAAAUGCAGUGAAUAGAUCUAAUAGGAUGAGAAGAGGACACAGAAUCAUCUUUGACAGUGCUAAGUGCCUCUGUGGCAGAGAGCAGUAUAGGUUCAGUGGCACUUCUUGAAUCCCGAGUGGUCAAAUUUGGUCAGAGACAGAAAGCGUAAGUAUUUUGGAAAAACUGUCAAAAAAAAUCUCCUAUCCCAUUUUCAUAUGCGAGAAUAGUACAUUCUACCAAUGGAUGGCACUGUUGGUAUUUGUUAACUGAUAUGCUCAAACGUAUUUGAUUUUGAAUCACAUUUUAAGGUCAAAUGUUUUACACUUCAUCG